rnacentral:rRNA from 1 species
UACAGAGGUCUCAAGCGUUGUUCGGAUUCAUUGGGCGUAAAGGGUGCGUAGGCGGCGCGGUAAGUCGGGUGUGAAAUCUCGGAGCUUAACUCCGAAACUGCAUUCGAUACUGCCGUGCUUGAGGACUGGAGAGGAGACUGGAAUUUACGGUGUAAGCGGGUGAAAUGCGUAGAUAUCGUAAGGAAGACCAGUGGCGGAAGGCGGGUCUCUGGACAGUUCCUGACGCUGAGGCACGAAGGUCAGGGGAGCAAACAGG